rnacentral:rRNA from 1 species
AGGACGAACGCUGGCGGCAUGCCUAACACAUGCAAGUCGAACGGGGGUAGCAAUACCCUAGUGGCGAACGGGUGAGUAACACAUAAGCAAUCUGCCCUUCACAGGGGGAUAACAGCGGGAAACUGCUGCUAAUACCGCAUAAGACCACGGUACCGCAUGGUACAGGGGUAAAAACGAAUCAGUGGUGAAGGAUGAGCUUAUGUCCCACUAGCUAGUUGGUGAGAUAACAGCCCACCAAGGCGACGAUGGGUAGCCGACCUGAGAGGGUGAUCGGCCACACUGGAACUGAGACACGGUCCAGACUCCUACGGGAGGCAGCAGUGGGGAAUAUUGGGCAAUGGAGGAAAAACCUCUUACCCAGCAAUGCCGCGUGAGUGAAGAAGGUCUUCGGAUUGUAAAGCUCUUCGAUUGGGGACGAAGAAAGUGACGGUACCCAAAGAACAAGCCCCGGCUAACUACGUGCCAGCAGCCGC